UGGGGAAUAUUGGGCAAUGGGCGCAAGCCUGACCCAGCAACGCCGCGUGAAGGAAGAAGGCUUUCGGGUUGUAAACUUCUUUUCUCAGGGACGAAGAAAGUGACGGUACCUGAGGAAUAAGCCACGGCUAACUACGUGCCAGCAGCCGCGGUAAUACGUAGGUGGCAAGCGUUAUCCGGAUUUACUGGGUGUAAAGGGCGUGUAGGCGGGGAAGCAAGUCAGAUGUGAAAACCACGGGCUCAACCUGUGGCCUGCAUUUGAAACUGUUUUUCUUGAGUACUGGAGAGGCAGACGGAAUUCCUA
rnacentral:rRNA from 1 species